rnacentral:misc_RNA from 1 species
AUGCUCUCGUUGAUGGCAGCAUCACCAUAUCUUACUUUGCCAAGGAAGAAGUGAACUGUAGAUUUGUGCCUUUGUACCCUGAAAUCUAUGUGCCAUGGAGAACUCCCUUCAAGAGAGGACUGGGCCAAAAAUUCUGUCAGCCAUCAGGAACUGGAAUUGACUUGGGCUUCCUUGAGUUGGAUCAGCUAUCAAAGCCCACACCAGAGGAAGAUAUGUUCCCCCUUGUUAUCUGUGCAGAAGCAUGCCUGCCUUCUCUCUUUGCAGCUGCAGAGCCUCCUGAUCAGCCUAUGCCAACCUUGUCUCCUCGUGCACAUAUUACUCAAGCUGUCUUAGACAAGAAUAAGGAGGGCCAUUUUCAAGUGAAAGUAGUGAAGCAAAUAUUGUGGAUUGAUGGGGCUCGAUAUGAGCUGCGUGAGAUUUAUGAUAGGGAAACAGGGAAAGAAUGUGUCAUUUGCUUGACUAAGCCAAAGGAUACAGUUAUUUUGCCUUGUCGACAUAUGUGUUUGUGCAGUGUGUGUGCAAAAGUGUUGAGACUUCAUUCUAAUAAAUGCCCAAUUUGCCGCCAACCCUUCCAGGAACUCAUGGAGAUCAAGAUUAAUUAAGAUCAUCCUCCUACACCAGAGGGGCAGAUUCCUUUCCUCACCAAGAAUUCACAGCACUACUGGAUGCAGAUUGUUCAAAAAAUUAUUUGAAGCCCAGAUUCUUAUUUGUUUGGUGAGGAAAGGAAUCUGCCCCUCUGG